UGGAGGAACCGGCUGCUGAUGUGGUGCCCCCUUCCCUGUUUGGCCCUCGCCCGACCCGGACAACUGGGUCAUUGUCAUCCAACGAGGCCACCAUGCCUCCCCUGGGGGGUGGGGAGGGAAUUUUAAAAUUAAGAUGUUGGGCCCAUUUAUAUUUUUACUCCUCUGAUAAUUGU